CAUCUACUCCCUCCGUUCCGAAUUACUCGUCAUAAAAAUGGAUGUAUCUAAAUGUAUUUUAGUUCUAGAUACAUCCAUUUCUGCGACAAGUAAUUUGAAACGGAGGAAGUAUAAU
rnacentral:pre_miRNA from 1 species